AAUUGCUCAUAACCUGGUGUAGUUUAAACCACUUUCUGUAGACAUUUGUGAGUUGAAGUGAGUCCAUCGAAGUCUACAAAGCUAAUUUAACAGAACUGCGGAGCUGUGGUCCACGGCAGCUGACAUUCCACUGACAUUCUGGAGGGAGAAACGCGGGCAAGAUCAGCCGAUGCACUGCCAACGAGACGCCGCCCAGUGUGUCCUCGAUGCAGCAACCCCAAGCAGCGGGCAGGCAGGAAUCCGAUCCAGGACAGUGAUACUGAUCAGACCAGGACAGUUCCAACAUCCAGGUGUCCGUAGUUCAACCAGGGGUUCCGAUCCCAACAGGAACAGAGGGAUCAUGUCUUCCAGGAAUGCUCAGAGCAUGAAGGCAGGUUUAGAGUCAGACGGGUCCAGAAGUGUGCCCAGACAGACACGGGAAUCAGGAAACCAGAAUUACUAGGAAACGCAAUAACCACUGGUUGGGGAAUGAAAUCCCCUGAGGACACUGGCUCGAGAAUAAUCUCCCCACUGGAACAGGGACAUGAACCUUACAAUAAACCAAACUAAUGAAACAGAACCUAAAGACAUCAAACAGGGGACAAACGGAAAACAAACAAUAAUCUGGCCUUGAUGGCUUGGGAUGAACCGAACAUAAAGGAAUAGAUGCAGGUGGAUGAGAUGAGUGAUAAUUGGAAGACCCAGAAUGGUGACCUUUGUCGAAUAUUAUCGGCGUUCAGGUUGGAUUGUGAUCUGGACACACAGGUCUCAUUUAAACAGAUCAGAUUAGAUCAGAUUAAGGACAACAUAGGUAAGUGGCCUGGGUUUCUUUGAAAAAUAUGUUGUUCAGACUGUCAUGAAGAGAUCAGAUACAGGUUGCAUAUGGGCAAAAAAGCAGGAGUCUGGUUACUUCAGGCUGCUGUGUGAACAUAGCUUUAGAUAUGUUUGAGCUUUUGUUCUUAUCUGCAUUUGAGGCUGCAUUUCUUCAAUUCUGAAAUGGAGAGAAUAUGGUAGUUAAACUUUUAAACACAGUGUUUAGUUAAGAAUCAGAAUUCUUGACUAGUUUAACAGACAAUUGCGGAUCUAAAUUUAAAAAUGGCUUCUGUACAUUGUGGAAACGAUUGAGAUACCUUAUUCAACAUCUCAAAUUAACCUUUACUGAAAAAUUAAAUCUGGAAGACUUAUGAGCUUUACCUGAACCACCUGUGAUGUCCAUUGUUUAGCUACAGCCAAUCAACUCAGGGCCGCACCUUCUCCAAAGCCAAUGAUCUUUCAAAAUCCCCUUCAUUUAACUCCUGGCUUAGCUUCUCUCUCUCACACGCAAGCAAACUAUUACCCAUCUCCUUCCUCAUUCUUGGACUAUUGUC